UCCUCCCCCAGAGCUCUAGGACUGAGUCACGGGCCUACCUCCAGGACAUGUGGAACAAUGACCAAGAAAAACGGGGCCUUCGGAGAGCUGAUGAGGGCUGUUUGCCUUGUUCGUUCCAAUUCUUGGGAAGGGACAAGAAAAGUAAAGCAGCCAUCCACAGGAAAGCUGGAUGGGUAGGACAGGACCUGACAGGUGGUUGUGGAGAUCUAGCCCACACUAGCCCAGCUCACAUUCGCACAUUCGAGUCUGCAUCUUAUUGCCUAGAGCUGGAUAGACACCCCUCCACUGUGUCCCUCUAUGGCCAGCCUUUCUCUUAGGUUAUGGAAUGUGGCUACCUCAAUCCCUGGUGAGGACCCGGGGCUGAGCAGACUGGACAUGACAUUGGUCUCUAUUUGAGAUUGGACUGAAGGUUCCAGAAAAACCUGGGUGCUGCCUCUUCAUCACCAGUGGUCCAAAGGGCACUGAGAGAACGCUAGCAGCCAAUAGUGUUCCUAGCAGCCGAAUACACCACCCUUCCUGAUCCCAUCACCCCCCCACUCUGCACCCCCAAUGGGAAAAAUGACCCAAAAAUAAACCCAAAAGAGAUUCUCUGC
rnacentral:lncRNA from 1 species